UACAUUCAUACAGACAGUUUUUGCUUUAAUAACUUAUAUAUGGGUAAUUCCAGGGAAAAUUUACUCUUUUUAUAACAUUUUAAUCUGAUUUGAAUAAAAUUUUAUAUUUUUUUCUGAUUAAAAAACUCAAAAAUAAAAAUAAAUUUCAAGUCUCUUACUCAAUUUUGGUCUGGGUUAUGAGCUCCUUUUUAUGAUGAAUUUGAUCAAAAAUCGCCUUGAUGACCAUACCGUCCUGGAUUGAUGUCUGAAAACCACUUAUCUGAUAGAUGCAUAUAAUACAUCAUUUGAUAGCUACUUAAUUAUAUUCAACAAGUUACUCAGAAUUAUAUAUAUAUAUAUUUUGUUAUAAAAAGUAUGGUUGUGUCGGAUCAUAUUUUUGACCUCAAACCUCCUAUGUCUGAUUUUGAUACAAAAAUUAUCAGAAACAAGUUAAAAAAAUAGAAUUUUAAAUUCAUGGAUUUAGGAAUUAUGAGAGGCUUAAUUUGUUCAUGUAUAUAAAAUAUAUUUCACAUUUAAUUGUUUUUACUGGUGUUAUGUUUUUAAACUCGAUAACGUAGUUACUUUGGAAGUGGUUCUUUGACAUUUUCAUUAGUGAAUGCAGAGAGAUUGCAAAGAUUUAGAAAUCAGUAAACAACAAAAUACUCCAAAUAACUAUUUUGAAUUUUGUUAUCCUAUAUAAAUCUAGUAUUUUUGAAAUUCCUUCCGUUUGCCAAUAAUAUCACAGACGAAGUCACCAUGCUGAAAUUAUGGUAAAAAACAAAACAACUGUUGAAUACUCACAAGGUGAUUUGUCUAAGAAUAACUCUUAGCCAGGAACUUGGAUUAUUUUUCCUGAAAGAAAUUAUGAGAAACAACCUAGACAGAGGUUAUAUAGAAGAAUAAAUCUCAAAACUUUCAAUCUGCUCACUCGAUCCUCAAAAUGAAAAUUCAAACUGAAAUUAUGUUUGCAGAAAUUUAAUUGCAAUGCAAGAGUCGUGAUGUUCAAAUACGAGGAAAAAAAAUGAGCGCCGCUUAUUUUUAAUUAAGCGGGAGCACGCUCUCUGCUUUACAAAAACAAGCAGGAGAGAGCACAACCACAAAAUUAAUUGAUGAGCAGGAGCAAGCUCAGGAUUUCUUGAGCUGACUAAGGUUCUAGUUAUUAUUGAUAAGGGUGAUAAUUUUGGUAAGAAUAGAAAAGCGUGCGAGGAGAAAAGAAGAAUUACUUAUGGCAUCAUUGAUUAAAUAAUAUACAUCUUCUUCUAUCAAUCAUGAA
rnacentral:lncRNA from 1 species